GUCAGGGACAGGCAGAGUGAACAUUAGGAGCCAUUAGGACGGGUCCAGCCCUGGGGCAUGGAUGCCCAGCUGCAGCAUCAGUGGGAGCCUGACCUGGGGCUUGAGAUGACUGGCCCCGUCUGAACUUCAGGGCUUCUAUGAGGAGGUGGCCAACCCACUGCUGACAGGCGUGGAGGUGGAGUACCCCGAGAACGCUAUCCUGGACCUCACCCAGAACACUUACCAGCACUUCUACGAUGGCUCUGAGAUCGUGGUGGCCGGGCGCCUGGUGGACGAGGACAUGAACAGCUUUAAAGCAGAUGUGAAGGGCCAUGGGGCUACCAACGACCUGACCUUCACAGAGGAGGUGGACAUGAAGGAGAUGGAGAAGGCCCUGCAGGAGCGGGACUAUAUCUUUGGGAAUUACAUUGAGCGGCUCUGGGCCUACCUCACCAUCGAGCAGCUACUGGAGAAGCG
rnacentral:sRNA from 1 species